UGUACCUACACACUAGUUACUAAAAACUGUCAGAGUGUCGAGUCUGUCACAUUAGUCAUCACAGUGACAUGUAUAGUUGCUACUACUCUCUAGCCUAGACUAGGUCGAUAUGCACAAUGUUGGGAAGAUCAGUUAGAAAGCGAAAAGUGCGACCUUGCUCUGCAACAGAACACCACCAGGGUUGUAACAGUUGGACCAGAGCCCUAGACAACAAUGACACACCAGUUUUUACAAAUGGGUCACCAGACUGAACUGGAUUUACGACUCAUCACGCCACUAACUCAACUCCUUUAGGUCACAUACAUUUGUACAUUGGAUCAUCAUCAGACGUCAUUUAUGCAAACCCCCAGAGCUCUGCAUUAGUAUGUUCCAGUUCACAGUUGAUAAUUUACCAGGUAAUCAUCAGAUUUACAAAAGCAGUAUAUUACUUUUAAGUUAAACCCCUACAUGUACAUGUGAUUCUAACAUAUAACAAACAUAUGUAUAAAGAUUAA